rnacentral:rRNA from 1 species
UACGUAGGGUGCAAGCGUUAAUCGGAAUUACUGGGCGUAAAGCGUGCGCAGGCGGUUAUGCAAGACAGAGGUGAAAUCCCCGGGCUCAACCUGGGAACUGCCUUUGUGACUGCAUGGCUAGAGUACGGUAGAGGGGGACGGAAUUCCGCGUGUAGCAGUGAAAUGCGUAGAUAUGCGGAGGAACACCGAUGGCGAAGGCAAUCCCCUGGACCUGUACUGACGCUCAUGCACGAAAGCGUGGGGAGCAAACAGG